ACACCUCUGCCUUCCUUCCAAGCACAGGACGAGGGGAUCCUGCCCUCGGGCAGACGGGGCACGGCGAGAGGUCCUGCCAGAUAAGCUCUAGGGGGCUCAGGCCACCCUCCCUGCCACGUGGAGACGCAGAGGCCGAACCCAAACUGGGGCCACCUCUGUACCCUCACUUCAGGGCACCUGAGCCACCCUCAGCAGGAGCUAGGGUGGCCACUGAGCUCCAACGGCCAUAACAGCUCUGACUCCCACGUGAGGCCACCUUUGGGUGCACCCCAGUGGGUGUGUGUGUGUGUGUGUGUGUGUGUGUGUGUGUGUGAGGGUUGGUUGAGUUGCCUAGAACCCCUGCCAGGGCUGGGGGUGAGAAGGGGAGUCAUUACUCCCCACUACCUAGGGCCCCUCCAAAAGAGUCCUUUUAAAUAAAUGAGCUAUAUAGGUGC
rnacentral:sRNA from 1 species